rnacentral:misc_RNA from 1 species
AAAAAAAAAUUCAGGGCACAACAUUCCAUCCCUGUCGAGACUCUUCCACUCGUUAACUCUGAAAUUUAUUACAACUUACAUGGUCAUUAGAAGACAUCAUAACGGGAGAUCUUAUUUACAAUAUUAUGCUCUUGACAGUCCCAAAAUUGCAUCUGCCAGCAGUAACCAAAAAUCCCAAGCUCCUAGCGAUCUAUAAAUGAUUUGUUCAUGAGGUUGACUGCAUUAUCCAUGAACUUUCCGAGCAACUUAAGUUCUCGUCCAACUGGUUCCAUAAAUUUUAGAUUAAUAUCUAUAGGCCACACCUUAAGACCAAGUAAUCGAACGGGAGUAAUCUGGC